rfam:Candidatus Magasanikbacteria bacterium RIFCSPLOWO2_02_FTLL_44_11 rifcsplowo2_02_scaffold_7495, whole genome shotgun sequence.
UUUCUUUGAGGAUAGAAAGGUGGCUAUCGCCGUCAAUCAAAAGAUUGAUGAGAGAUGAGGGAAACUCCGCCCCUCCAAAGACA